UCGCUCAGGAAAGGGGCGGGAAGUGCGCUCCCACCGCACGCAUGCGCGCCCCGCUCCUCCUGCCCGCUGGCCCGGCAGGCUCGCUGCCGCUGCGCGGCCAGCACCGACGGCGCGCACGCUGGAAGAGGAGGAGCCGCCCCGCCCUCCCGCGACACGCGGCCCCCCGAGGCCUGCAGGGGGCCCCUAGAGGGGGCGGGCGGACACCUGUUUCUUCAGUUGGGGGUUAGGGAGCCGAGGAAAGGGGCUCUUUCCCUCCCUUCCCCCCUCCCCCACGAAGAGCGGGGCGGGAGGUCCUGGGCGUGCUACCGAGAGUCCGCUCCGGGUUUUCCCGCCCACUUUAACUCUGUGAGCGCUUCGACUGCGCCGCGCUGCACUCCACCGGGCGCGCCCGAGCCCUCGGCCGGAACUCGUUGUGCCGCCCCCUCACAUUCCUCCAGGAACGGAAAGUGGGCUCGCAGCCCUCUUCGCCUUGGAGUCCCUCCGGCCGGGCCUCCCCUUCCUGUCUUUUCCGGGUUGCAGCCCGGGCCGGCCCUGGCAGUUAGAAAGUGCCCGCCUAAGGAGGACGCGCGGAGGAACUACUUAACGUGUCCGUGCGCCCGGUGGUGCGGCCGCGCUCGGAGCUCUUCCUGGAAACUCCCGCCUCGGGGCGCCAGGGGAGCCGGCCGGGGGGAGGGGUGCGCGCGAGGCUCACGCCCCCCCUCCCGGGGGAGGGCUCGGCGUCCCCGCCCUCCUCCCGCCGAGGGGAGGGGCGCCCGCGCGGGCGGGUGAGGGGAGGGCGCGGAAGCCGAGGUGGGGGGCGCUUCCCGCCCCACCCCGCCUCCAGAACAACGGGUUCCCGCUGCUGCCCCCUGCCGCUCGCCGCGGCUUCGACGGAGGCGUCGGGGGGGCGCCGCUUCCGUGGGAACCGGACCCGGGACGUUCUAAAACUGCCCGGUUUCCUGUCAGAAAACUUGCAGCUACUUUCCAGAAGCCGCUGGGAGCAACUUGGACCCAGGCAGCCAGAGUUGGCCACAGCCUAAUUUAAUUCGCUGCCGGAUGAAGUCCUCAUCCCGGGUGUCACUAACUGGCCCUUUUCUGGGGCUGAACUAUCCCACACACCCAUGCCUCAGUAGCUACGAGGAUUGUGUAAACCAUCACCCUCUGGUUCCGUUUUCUAGUCGCUCUUGUCCUAAAAUGCAACUCAAUCAGGUAAACUCUUUUCUUUCUCGGGGUCUGAAAAAUAAGAAACAUCAGAGUUGCAAGAAAAUGUUGUUCUUUUAAGAAGAAAGAUUUAGGCCAUGAGACCAAAUUUGCUGUUUAACGUGAACCCCUGAGGGGUAUGCGUGGUGAGCUUGAAUGCGGUUAAACCAGCUUUAAUCACUCUCUUUGUUCUGGGUCUUCCAUUUACUUAAUGUGUUUUAAGGUGAUUUGAAACAACUUUAAUGUCUUUUUCUAUGUAGUAUAGCCUCGAACCAUGCCCUAUGACAAAGUAUAGCUGUCUGUGGGACCCUUGUCGUUUUCUAGAAUUAAUUCUAUAUUAAACGGCUGUAUGACCAAGAAAUAAAAAGGGAAGUUUUGAAAGGAAAA